GAUGAACGCUGGCGGCGUGCCUAAUACAUGCAAGUCGAGCGAACAGACGAGGAGCUUGCUCCUCUGACGUUAGCGGCGGACGUGUGAGUAACACGUGGAUACCCUACCUAUAAGACUGGGAUAACUUCGGGAAACCGGAGCUAAUACCGGAUAAUAUAUUGAACCGCAUGGUUCAAUAGUGAAAGACGGUUUUGCUGUCACUUAUAGAUGGAUCCGCGCCGCAUUAGCUAGUUGGUAAGGUAACGGCUUACCAAGGCAACGAUGCGUAGCCGACCUGAGAGAGUGAUCGGCCACACGAGAACUGAGACACGGUCCAGACUCCUACGGGAGGCAGCAGUAGGGAAUCUUCCGCAAUGGGCGAAAGCCUGACGGAGCAACGCCGCGUGAGUGAUGAAGGUCUUCGGAUCGUAAAACUCUGUUAUUAGGGAAGAACAAAUGUGUAAGUAACUAUGCACGUCUUGACGGUACCUAAUCAGAAAGCCACGGCUAACUACGUG
rnacentral:rRNA from 1 species